GCGCAGCAGGCGCGAAAACUCCGCAAUGCGCGUAAGUGUGACGGGGUCAUCCCGAGUGCCGUCCGCUGAGGAUGGCUUUUGUCCGGUCUAACCAGCCGGGGGAAUAAGGGGAGGGCAAGUCUGGUGUCAGCCGCCGCGGUAAUACCAGCUCCCCGAGUGGUUGGGACGAUUAUUGGGUCUAAAGCGUCCGUAGCCGGCUGAGGAAGUUCUCCGUUAAAUCCAGCGAUUCAAUCGUUGGAUUGCGAGGGAUACUGUUCGGCUAGGGGGUGAGAGAGGCCAACGGUAUUCCCGGGGUAGGGGUGAAAUCCUAUAAUCCCGGGAGGACCACCAGUGGCGAAGGCGGUUGGCUAGAACACGCCCGACGGUGAGGGAUGAAAGCUGGGGGAGCGAACCGGAUUAGAUACCCGGGUAGUCC
rnacentral:rRNA from 1 species